UUCUGUUGCUUAUGCUCACAUCUAUGGUUCCAGAUCUCUUUCUUAGGGUUUCUAUCUCCAGCGUUGCCUCACUUUGGGUUUUCUUUAUUGUGUCUACUUCUCUUUUUAGUUCUAGUAUGGUUUUGUUCAUUUCCAUCACCUGUUUGGAUGUGUUUUCCUGUUUUUCUUUAAGGACUUCUGUUUGGUUGUGUUUUCCUGUUUUUCUUUAAGGACCUGUAAUCUUUAGCAGUGCUCUCCUGUAUUUCUUUAAGUGAGUUAUGAAAGUCCUUCUUGAUGUCCUCUACCAUCAUCAUGAGAUAUGUUUUUAAAUCUGGGUCUAAAUUUUUGGUUGUGUUGGGGUGCCCAGGACUAGGUGGGGUGGGAGUGCUGCGUUCUGAUGAUGGUGAGUGGUCUUGAUUUCUGUUAGUAGGAUUCUUACGUUUGCCUUUCGCCAUCUGGUAAUCUCUGAAGCUAGCUGUUAUAGUUGUCUCUGGUUAGGGCUUGUUCCUCAGGUGACUCUGUUAUCCUCUAUAAGCAGACCUGGGAGGCUAGUUCUCUCCUUAGUUUCAGUGGUCAGAGUAUUCUCUGCAGGCAAGCUCUCUUCUUGCAGGGAAGGUGCCCAGAUAUUUGGUGUUCGAAACUGCCUCCUGGCAGAAGUUGUGUUCCACUCACCAGAGGUCUUAGGAUCCCGUGUGGAAUCCUGUGUGGGCCCUUGCGGGUGUCGGGUGACUCCGCUGGCAUGGCACCCCGGUGCUCGAGUGGACUGGAAGGCUGAAUGAAAUUUCUCAAAGCGAGCAUCAGACUUAUAUUACAGAAGAAAACAAAGAAGUCAGGUGACACAUCAGCCAAGGUACAUUGAAGUUAUCCUAUGCAUAAUGACACAAAACAGAGAAAUGCAUACAUAAAGGAACCAGGCAGUGAUUACAACUGAGAUAAAAAGCAGCCCUAUCUAAAAUCAGCUAUUCUAGGAGCCAGGUGAGGAUUUUGCACACUAGUCACAAUUUAUGCUAUUCCUUUGCGCCUUAUGCAAUUUGUGAUAUUCCCCUGAACAGAGCACCAGGGGGUUCUGCUCUUGUUAACCUUUUCAUGAAUAAUGCAAUACUCUAGUUCUUCCUUAAACCACAACCCUCCUUCUUCUUAGACCUUUGUAAAUUCCUGAAUAUGGGAGUGACUCAGCUGUUAUUUUAAGUAUCCAUAGGGAACCUCCAUUUGUCAGAGGAACUCACCAACUUUCUUCUAAUAUGUAAUGUAGUCUGCCAUACCUGACUGUAAUGAGAAUUCUAAGUUUACUUUGUUGAAGUAGCCCUGAGAUUGCUAGCUCUUAUCCAGUAAAAUACUGAAAGAAAGCAUGCAAGACCCUCCACACUAUCGCAAGGACAAAUCUGAAACACAUCUCUGUUAUGGGAUGACAAAGACUCUCCAGGAGACCAGUUUCCAUGAAACUUUGUGCCUCAGGACUGCGGCCAAGCUUUUGGACUUGCCACAAAGACUCCACUGGAGUGGGUGUGCCACUGACAUCCUUGGUCUCUGUGUUCUGAACCUGUUGACUGACUGAGCGGGCUUGGUCACUUGUCACAGACAGAAAUGCAGCUCUUCUCGGAGUGUUCAAUACAGAUCAUGAACCAUCUGCCCUAGCUUCUUCCCAGGUUGCAGAUUUAUCCGAGGAGUUUUGCAAAUUCCGCAGCUCUUGGUCUCUCCACUGAUCACGCACAUCAGGACAAUGGGACGUUUCUCUAAUGGUUAUUUGAAGCAACCCCAUAAAUCAGUGUGUCAAAGACCUAGAAGCAGGACGGGUCCUCUGGAAGCGCUGCUUGAUCUCACACUGGCCCACACUGAUUCCUUACGUGGUUUCAGAGGAUUUGGAUAAAAGGACUCCUGUGGACCCCUACAUUGGUGGCUUAACACUUGACUGUUCAACGAAAAGCCCUUCUUUUCUCGUAUUCCUUCUUAUGCAUGCAUUGAGACGACUGCAUUUUCUCAGUACUGAGAGAUCUGGGCUCUAACAGGCUGUCCACCUCACAGACAAGAAAAUAAGCUUUGAAACCCUUCGCUCAGUAUUAAUAUCUACAGGGUUCUGCAGACCAGUAGCUGCCCUCUGGAAAUAGAGAGUGCACAUCAUCUCCCUCCCCCUUCCUGCUUCCCCCUGAGGCAGGAAGAAGUUCCCUCCAAAGCAAAGCCAACAAGAUUUCCUCUCCCAGGAAGCUGAGCGUGGGGUUAACUGGAGUGAGGCUGGAGCUGUAAUAUGCAGAUGCAGAAGGCAAGAGACAAGGGAAGCAACGACCUCUGGACCUCUCAACCUCUUGCCCUCUCACCAGUAGCAUAGGCCAGUGUGGGCCAGAGACCCGGUUAGGCAGUCAGUACCAGAGAGACAGAGAUGAGAGAGACACAAAGAGAGACAGGAAGAAAACCCUUAAACCACCCUUAUGCCCUGCUCUCAACAGCUUUAAUUCAUUUCUCAGCUGUGAUCUCAGAUUGGGGGACCACAAGACAGCCACUUAUUUUAACCUUGCACGAGGUGGUUUGCACUUAGUGGAAAUCAGAGAGUUCCAGAAAGCGAGAGAUCCAGAGAUCCAGGCCAAAUAGCAAGUGCUGGUCCUGCUCUGCACAAGAUCCCACCUUUUAUAGCUCCUGCCACCCCAGGAGAAGGGCUCCUCCAUUCACAAAAGCUGUCACCAGGCCUCUGAGCUGGCUAGGCUUCCACAAGGGUGGGGUGGGAAUGGAGAGAGCAGCCUGCUCCAGUGACACAGCGCAGGGACUCUGGGGUGUGUUGUGCUUUUUCUAAUGGAGCUUCUUUGACUGUAAACACUUCACAAAUGUGUGUGGAGCUGGGAAGGACACCUUCGUUUCACAUAAACAGCAACACUAGGCUGCGUCACCUCUGUAAUUGAGGGAGUCUGAAGAGGUGUUUGUUGGUAUUUAUUAAUAAUUAUCUUCGACACAUCCCUAGCUUUGUGGGAAUCUCACAGACAGCCUGCUGGGAAGGCACAGGUGUGAAGUGGAAGACUGAAAGGAAGACAGGGGCUGUGAGACAGAUUCCCUCAAUAGAAAUCAGAAGGGUAUUGUAGUAGGUUGAUUGCUUUAUGUGCUAGGCCUACUUGUUACUGAGGUCUUGCUUUGCACUCCUCUGUGCUCCCCAGGCCUUGUGAUAUGGGUGGAAGGAAUUCAGAUGAGACACACAGGGCAUAACAUAUUGAUAGAAGACAGUAUAUUACAGAAUAAAGUGAGGCACAUUCAAGGACCGAGGCUGGGUAAUGGCUAAAGGGACCACUGCAGGGGAAAACAUUCUCACAGGCUAUCAGUGGACACCAGCCAGGGAUCAGUGCAGGGGGAAUGCUAUCACCAGAUAAGAAGAGACAAUCUCCAGGGACUGUUUGCCAACCUACAGUUCUUAAGUUUGGGGAAAUAGACUGUUCCUGUGUAGGAUUAUCUUGUCUCGGUGACGGAGAAGCCCAUUCGGAUGAACUCUUUGUUGUUGUUGUUGUUUUCGAAGCAGAGUUUCUCCGUGUAGCUCUGGCU